rnacentral:rRNA from 1 species
UCAGUCGACUCCUACGGGGAGGCAGCAGUGGGAAUAUGCACAUGGGGAAACCCUGAUGCAGCCAUGCCGCGUGUGUGAAGAAGGCCUUCGGGUUGUAAAGCACUUUCAGUAGGGAGGAAGGUAGUGUAGUUAACACCUGCAUUAUUUGACGUUACCUACAGAAGAAGCACCGGCUAACUCCGUGCCAGCAGCCGCGGUAAUACGGAGGGUGCGAGCGUUAAUCGGAAUUACUGGGCGUAAAGCGCAUGCAGGCGGCCUGUUAAGUCAGAUGUGAAAGCCCGGGGCUUAACCUCGGAAUUGCAUUUGAAACUGGCAGGCUAGAGUCUUGUAGAGGGGGGUAGGAAUUUCAGGUGUAGCGGUGAAAUGCGUAGAGAUCUGAAGGAAUACCAGUGGCGAAGGCGGCCCCCUGGACAGAUACUGACACUCAGAUGCGAAAGCGUGGGGAGCAAACAGGAUUAGAUACCCUGGUAG